rfam:Capsicum annuum cultivar Zunla-1 unplaced genomic scaffold scaffold2400, whole genome shotgun sequence
UAUUGGUGAUGUAGGAAAUCUCUGUGAAGAUACUUGAAUUUUUCCCAUGCAUGCUAGAUAUUUUCUUCUUUCUUCUGCUUGAAACCUAGAUCUCACUCCCCAACCA